rnacentral:rRNA from 1 species
CUUUACCGCGACCCCAGGUCAGGCGGGAUUACCCG